UCGAUGCCUUACAUGCAGACCAACUCGUGAAUUUGUUUGAAUACAUAGGGAUGGCACGGGUGUUUUUGCACCACGACCUCCCUUUGGGUAGGAGGGGGUGCGUCCCCCUCAUGCCUGAACACAAACCCCGGCGUUCAAUGCGCCAAGGAACAUAAAAUUCGAUCAAUGCGCCCCGUCGGCCCGGAGACGGUGCUCUGGCGGUGGUGCCUUGUCACAUGAUAC
rnacentral:misc_RNA from 1 species